GUUGAGCUUGUUAAAUUAGGUCAGGCAGCACUAAAAUGAUGCCUCGCAGAAGCACUCAGGAGGAGGAGGAGAAGGAAAACGCUCUGUCUGUCUGUCUGUCUGCUGCUUGUAUAAGAGGAUGCAGAGGCUGCAUUUCAUUGUUACACAGGGCCACGGCUAAUGGUCCCCAUCCCCGGUGUGAAUGGAAGGUAUUUGUGUGAGAGUGUGAUGCAUUAUUUAAGAGUAAACAUGGUGGAGACAGAGAGACCCUGCGGUGGUGGUGGUGGGGCAGUAUUGAUUGUGACAGGCCAGAGGAGACAUGCACACCUCGCUUAAGUGUCUGGGGCUUCUCACUGUGCCCCCGCAAAUCAGCUUUUAUUGCUCCAGCUUUGGAGUCUCCACAGUCAGCAGCCUAUCAGGCAAAGCAGCUUAGCAGAGAUAGCCUGCAGCAGUCCCACAGUGGGCCUUACCGCUAUCAAUCGAUCAUUCAUCACUGGUCCCUAAGAAACAAAAACAAGAAGCCAAAAGACGACCAGAGGAGGGGGAAGGGGGGGGCUGAGCUGGACUGUGUCACAUGGCUCUUGGCUGGGUGGAAAAACCCUGUCAGGUUUUAUUUGGGAACAGUCCACGUCCUGUUCUCUGCUGCUCAGAUUGAAACAUUUGAGGAGGAGAGAGAAGAAAAGUAAUGAGAAAAACUUUCUGAAAGAGGUCGAAUGAAAUGUGGCCCCCCGGUGCCCCCCUCUCCCUCCCUCCUCCAGCCCUCCUGCACAUUCCUCUCCCCUCAGCAGAUCUGGCAUGCCCCACAGGAGGCGGCGGCAGCAGCAGCACAGUAAUCUUUUCAAAAGGGCGGAUUUGAGCGGCCGCCAGGGCAGCCGGCCAACUAUUUCUCAUUUGGAGCUGGCCUGGAGAUGACCCUCCUGUUGGAGCCCCACUCUCAGGAAAAACAAAAACGCCAGCGCCAAGUGAGGGAGCGCCUUGGCAACGCUGGAGAGUCGGGAACAGACAAGCAGAAAGAAAACAGGGAAACCGCAAGCCUGCUCUCAGGAACAUCUGCACCGCCUUCCUGUGUCAAAGAAAAAAUUAAACUUAAUACUGUCUGCAUGAGCCCAGGGGACUAAACCAAAACAUGGAAGGCCUGUGUUUCAUUGGCGUUUCUUUUUUGGACCUCUGUCUGCAGGACGUUUUUUUCUUUGUCCAUUUUCCUCUCUGUCUAACAAUUCCCCCCCUCCUCUCUCAGCCUCUUUUCCCUCUCUGCAGCCCUCCGCUGAGCUCUGGCCUCUUGCACUUUCAGAGGAAGCCCACCUCUGGGUGGGGAGGGGCUGCUGUGUCCCUGUUAUGCUUGCUCAAUGAUGGAUGGACAGGAAAACUAAGAAUCCAGGUCCGGCAUUCCUGCUUUUACAGUGGGACGAGCGGGCGGAGGGAGAUGCGGGGGAAUUCUUGAGCGUCUUUGUAAUCCCUAUAUGUUUGACAGCAACUGCAGUGACCUUGAUCCAAACUUGUGGUCAGACCCCAGACAGAAGUGCUCAGUAAUUAUCUGGGUGGUUCUUGCAAAAGUCGCAGAAAACAGGCAGCUUCCAGAAAAAAGUCAAAGGGAGGAAAAGAAGGACAGGACAUGUGGAAAUGUUUGGAGGCUUAAAAGCUUUGUGAGUCAGACCUAAGACAUCAAAUUCCACAUGCGGGGU
rnacentral:lncRNA from 1 species